AUACUCCCUGUCCUUUUAUUGUUAGCUAGCAGUCUCAAGCCACAGAAGUAGCUAACAUUAACUUAAAUGUUAGCUACAGGUAGGCCUAACGGUGCAUGGACACUAGAUAAGAGAUAAAUUGCCGCGUGUCGCUCAGGUCGCACAUUGUGACUCGCUUGUGGGCGUGCUGGCAGCAUGUGGCAGCAUGUUCGAUUGUGCGUCAAGAAUUCAGCAUAGCAAGUUUGUAUGAACGUCUGGUUAUUAAAUGGGUACAUAGUUCAAUAGUAAUAUCCUCUAAAACGCUCCAGUGACAAACUAACUUUGCUGCCCUGUUUCAAAUUAUCUACAUGACUGGGAGAACCUAUUCAAGUAAAGUAAAUACAUUUCAAAAAUAUACCUUGUAACUGGAGAAUCCUUCAAAACGAUUGCCUACAGUUAAUAUAUAGGGCACUGCAAGGUUGGGUGACCUGGGACUGCCUCCUGGGGGAAUUCAGGUGUGUGAAGGCUACCUGUGUCCUGCAUUACUUGAUAAGGAUGGACACGAGGACCAGGAGGGGAUGUGCAGCUUGCCGCCGUGUGCCAGAGUAGAAGUCUGCUGCUCUGUGAGAUGUUUCAAGGAUGGGGUCUAACAACGCAGCAAGAGGGGAGAUCUUCACCUCCUACUUCUUCGAAGAUGUUGCUGUUCCCUGGUAACACCAUUGACUACACUAUGCACAACCAAAGGCUCUUUUAAGAGCCAUUGACAUUGCAAUAAGAGUAUUCUUCCAUUUACUUAACGAUGUCAACAGCAGUUAUUCAAUUCCCAGUUUCUCUCCCCUUGAUUUCAACUUCUCAGAUGAGGGUGCUGUUUAGCCACGGGUGUGAUGUCUGUACAGAAACAAAACAGGCUAUUUUAAAUCACCCAUAUUGAUUUUUUUUUUUUAACAAUUAGAUACGCUAUAACCCACACACUCAUGUAUCAAUAUGAUUGUUGGAUUGUGUUGUGCAGUAAGCAGGCUUAGGUGUAUAACUGUGGCUCCUUCCACCUUCAAAAAAUAGGCAAGAGGGCCAACCAUGGAGAAUAGUAAGAUACUUCAUUAUUUCUAUAACUACUCUAUUGUUUGUCCUCGUGUGUCCGUUCAUGUUUUUCUGCAUAAAGUACUCUGCAGCCACUUAGUGUGGUGUGGACACCAGGAGAGGCCGCACAGAGCUUCCUUUUGAACACAGUCACUUUAACUACCUUAUUUUUCAAUAACAGUCUCGUUCAAUUCAUCCCUCUCUCUUCUCCCUAAAUCCUCUAGGUUAUAUCAGCUGUGUCAGUGAACCCCUCCCACAUCUGAACUGGCUACAUAGAGGGCACAGCAUGAUCAGAGGUUAGAGGUCACUUGGUCAGGUCAACAUUAAGUAUUAUUAAAGAGAUGCUUUACAUUGAAAUAGAGAUAAAGUAGUCCCAGAGUUAAUGAUCCAAGGUCAGUUUUGCAUUUCACUUCCUGAUUGAUGACUAACAACGUUAGAAUAAAAAUAAGGCUUAAACAUGCUCUCUCUCCAUCUGUCUCUUGUCUGCAGAUAUGUUUUGAUGUGAGAGGGGAUGCCAACCCCCAGUCCUAUCAUCGCCACCUCACCUGCUUUUAAGAUAACCUUUGGGCUGUCGAGUGAUACUUAUGUAAUUGUGAUGAACUAAGAAUAUUUAGGUAGCACUGUGAUUCAUUAAUCAUAUGCUGCCUUCCCUGCUCCUAUGUUUUACCUCUUUCCCUUUUACACCUCUCCCACCACCUCUUUCUUUAUAAUGCACAACAGAUGUGCAUUGAAGUACAGAUUGAACUUGAAUUUAUAACAUUAACAUUAUAAUAUUUAUAAUGCAUGUAUUUAUAACACUUGGAUAAUGAGAUUCUCAAUAAAGCAUUUUACAUUCUCUA